GGUGGUGUCAGCGCCCCGGCCCCAGCCCGCACCCCGAAGUGGCUCCAAGGCCGCAGGAUGACCAGUGUCCCAGUGAAGGAACGGGUGAAGGUGUCUCAGAACUGGAGACUGGGGCGCUGCCGAGAGGGGAUUCUGCUGAAGUGGAGAUGCAGUCAGAUGCCCUGGAUGCAGCUAGAGGAUGAUUCUCUGUACAUAUCCCAAGCUAAUUUCAUCCUGGCCUACCAGUUCCGUCCAGAUGGUGCCAGCUUGAACCGUCGGCCUCUGGGAGUCUUUGCUGGGCAUGAUGAGGACGUUUGCCACUUUGUGCUGGCCAACUCGCAUAUUGUUAGUGCAGGAGGAGAUGGGAAGAUUGGCGUUCAUAAGAUUCACAGCACCUUCACUGUCAAGUACUCGGCUCAUGAACAGGAGGUGAACUGUGUGGAUUGCAAAGGGGGCAUCAUUGUGAGUGGCUCCAGGGACAGGACGGCCAAGGUGUGGCCUUUGGCCUCAGGCCGGCUGGGGCAGUGCUUACACACCAUCCAGACUGAAGACCGAGUCUGGUCCAUUGCUAUCAGCCCAUUACUCAGCUCUUUUGUGACAGGGACGGCUUGUUGUGGGCACUUCUCACCCCUGAGAAUCUGGGACCUCAAC
rnacentral:sRNA from 1 species